rnacentral:rRNA from 1 species
ACGGAGGGUGCAAGCGUUAUCCGGAAUCACUGGGUUUAAAGGGUGCGUAGGCGGCACAAUAAGUCAGAAGUGAAAGGCUGUAGCUUAAUAUGAAUUGCUUUUGAUACUGUUGAGCUUGAAUUGGGUUGAGGUUAGCGGAAUGAGUCAUGUAGCGGUGAAAUGCAUAGAUAUGACUUAGAACACCAAUUGCGAAGGCAGCUAACUGGGCUUGAUUGACGCUGAGGCACGAAAGCGUGGGGAGCAACAGGAUUAGAUACCCGGCGUAGUCC